CAAAUCAGUGCACGUGUGGAGUGUUGUCCGGUAAACUGCUGAGGCUUAUUGUGAGCGGAUAGGAGGAAUCGAGGUCGAUCCUGCUUAAAAAAAAGAGAGAAAAACAAGAAAAAAGAAAUACUAGAAAUGCCUGAACCGAAAACAAAAGAGAGGUUCGUGGUUUCUUAGGUAGAUUGAACUGCAUCUCACGGUUCAUAUCUCAUCUAACAACCC
rnacentral:lncRNA from 1 species